AACGUACCGCCGAUUUCUAUACGUUUCUCGUUCGUUACACUUUCAUCGCGUUGCAUCGUUUGUAAGGAAAGAAAGUUAAACAACGUGAAGAAAUUACCGAAGAAAUGAACACGAAAAAUCAAUUAAGGAACUACUGUGAUUAAUCGAUUACUAAUAGCUUAAAGUGUCAUUAAUCAAUAUCCGUUACUUAGCAGUAUGAAUUUGUUAUUAAACAUUAAUUCCCCCUGAUUGGAUCUCCAAGGUAUUUUUGAUGUGACUUUCCAUUCGGUGAAUACAUCACUGCGUCCAUAGUUGAAGAUGAUGUUUGGUGAUUUGGUGAUUUUUGGAAAGAUCAAGGAAAUUGAGUUGUGGUAGAAGCGUUCCUGAAUAUUCCAAACUUAGGUUUACGUUUGAAUUUUGUGCAGUCAGGUCAACACCUUGGUGCUAAAUUUUAAGUUGGAGUGGAAAUCGAUGAUCGGGGAAAAUGAAGUCAACAACUAGUUUUGAUUGGGCGAUCAAUUGCAGGUAUAGGGCUGGAAUCAUAGUACUACAAUUUCAGGCAACCCUUCCGCAGUUAGACCUGACUACUCUUCAUCCUACCAGAGGCUUCGAAGCAGCACUCGUUGGAAAUUAUUAUCCAUCUUCUUCUCUCCAUAUCUCAUUAAAUAUGGAUCCCAGCGAAAAAUCGUAUAGAAUAGAGAAUUUUGUAUGUAGAUUAAUUAAGUAUAAGAAUAUUUCUUGGUAUGAACCACCAUUUACGAGUCAUUUACAGAAAAUUGUUAUGUAAGACAC